GGACGCUUUUAUUAGAUCAAAACCAAUCGACGUCCGUUCGCUUCGCGGCGGGCGGCGCCGUACUCCUUGGUGACUCUGAAUAACUUUUGGCAGAUCGCACGGUCUCAGAACCGGCGACGCAUCCUUCAAAUGUCUGCCUUAUCAACUGUCGAUGGUAGGUUCUGCGCCUACCAUGGUUGUAACGGGUAACGGGGAAUCAGGGUUCGAUUCCGGAGAGGGAGCCUGAGAAACGGCUACCACAUCCAAGGAAGGCAGCAGGCGCGCAAAUUACCCACUCCCGGCACGGGGAGGUAGUGACGAAAAAUAACGAUACGGGACUCAUCCGAGGCCCCGUAAUCGGAAUGAGUAUACUCUAAAUCCUUAUACGAGUAUCAAUUGGAGGGCAAGUCUGGUGCCAGCAGCCGCGGUAAUUCCAGCUCCAAUAGCGUAUAUUAAAGUUGUUGCGGUUAAAAAGCUCGUAGUUGGAUCUGUGUCCCGCACCGUCGGUUCACCGCCUGUCGGUGUUCAACUGGCGCGUACGCGGAACGUCCUGCCGGUGGCGGUCCGGUGCCCCGUCGGUACGUAGGGGUCGUCCUUGCUCUGCUUGCGUCGUCCCCGAAGGCCUUCGCGGUGUCAUCGGCCGCCUUUCGAUCCCGUCGCGGUGCUCUUCACCGAGUGUCGAGGCGGGCCGGCACGUUUACUUUGAA
rnacentral:rRNA from 1 species